AUAUUCACUUUAACAGCACAUAUACUAAAAUUGGAAUGAUAUAGGGAAAAUGAGCAUGACCCCUGUGCAAGGAUGACAUGCACAUUUGUGAAGGAUUCCAUAUUUUU